GUGGACGCCAGUCUGCGUGGAGCCGACCUUGAAAUACCACCCUUUAAUGUUUGAUGUUCUAACGUGGACCCGUAAUCCGGGUUGCGGACAGUGUCUGGUGGGUAGUUUGACUGGGGCGGUCUCCUCCUAAAGAGUAACGGAGGAGCACGAAGGUUGGCUAAUCCUGGUCGGACAUCAGGAGGUUAGUGCAAUGGCAUAAGCCAGCUUGACUGCGAGCGUGACGGCGCGAGCAGGUGCGAAAGCAGGUCAUAGUGAUCCGGUGGUUCUGAAUGGAAGGGCCAUCGCUCAACGGAUAAAAGGUACUCCGGGGAUAACAGGCUGAUACCGCCCAAGAGUUCAUAUCGACGGCGGUGUUUGGCACCUCGAUGUCGGCUCAUCACAUCCUGGGGCUGAAGUAGGUCCCAAGGGUAUGGCUGUUCGCCAUUUAAAGUGGUACGCGAGCUGGGUUUAGAACGUCGUGAGACAGUUCGGUCCCUAUCUGCCGUGGGCGCUGGAGAACUGAGGGGGGCUGCUCCUAGUACGAGAGGACCGGAGUGGACGCAUCACUGGUGUUCGGGUUGUCAUGCCAAUGGCACUGCCCGGUAGCUAAAUGCGGAAGAGA
rnacentral:rRNA from 3 species